rnacentral:RNase_P_RNA from 1 species
CGAGCGGGCCAGGCGGCCGCGCGCCGCGCAUGUCGCGACGUGAGGAAAGUCCGGGCUCGUAAGGGCAGGAUGCCAGCUAACGGCUGGGCGGGGCGACCCGACGGAAAGUGCCACAGAAAAGAAGACUCCCGCAUGCUUUUGCCUGCGAGAAAAGCUGAAACGGUGCGGUAAGAGCGCACCAGCGUGCCGGUAACGGCACGGCUUGGUAAACCCCAUCCCGAGCAAGCGCAAAUAGGAAUGCCAUACGAUCAGCCCUUUCGUGCAUUCGGGUUGCGUGCUUGAGACGUGCGGUGACGUACGUUCGAGAUAAAUGGCCGUCCAACGACAGAACCCGGCUUACAGGCCCGCUCGCACC